rnacentral:piRNA from 1 species
UGCAGUGUUAGUGAUCGGAAGUCUUGUA